rnacentral:tRNA from 1 species
UCCCUGAUGGCUCAGAUGGUAAAGCAUCUGCCUGCAAUGUGGGAGACCCGGGUUCGAUCCCUGGGUUGGGAA